rnacentral:rRNA from 1 species
UACAGAGGGGGCAAGCGUUGUUCGGAAUUAUUGGGCGUAAAGGGCGCGUAGGCGGUGCGGUAAGUCACCUGUGAAAUCUCCUGGCUCAACUGGGAGCUUGCAGGCGAAACUGCCGUGCUGGAGUGUGGGAGAGGUGCGUGGAAUUCCCGGUGUAGCGGUGAAAUGCGUAGAUAUCAGGAGGAACACCAAUAGCGAAGGCAGCUCGCUGGGACGGUACUGACGCUAAGGCGCGAAAGCGUGGGGAGCGAACAGG